rnacentral:rRNA from 1 species
UACAGAGGGUGCAAGCGUUAAUCGGAAUUACUGGGCGUAAAGCGCGCGUAGGUGGUUUGUUAAGUUGAAUGUGAAAUCCCCGGGCUCAACCUGGGAACUGCAUCCAAAACUGGCAAGCUAGAGUAUGGUAGAGGGUGGUGGAAUUUCCUGUGUAGCGGUGAAAUGCGUAGAUAUAGGAAGGAACACCAGUGGCGAAGGCGACCACCUGGACUGAUACUGACACUGAGGUGCGAAAGCGUGGGGAGCAAAC